rnacentral:rRNA from 1 species
GACGAACGCUGGCGGCGUGCCUAAUACAUGCAAGUCGAACGGACAGACCCUGCGUUUGCUCCUCUCGCGUUACCAACGGGCGGGUGAGUAACACGUGGAUAACCUACCUCUUCGAGUUGGAUCACUUCGGCAAAGCGGAACUCAUACCGGAUACCAUUUUUAAUCUGAUGGUUGGAAAGUUUUAUCCGGUUUUGAUGUGCCCUCGUGCUGUCUCCGCGCCGGAUGAGUUAGUUGGUAAGGUAACGGCUUACCAUGGCGACGAUGCGUAGCCGACCUGAGAGGGUGAUCGGCCACACUGGAACUGAGACACGGUCCAGACUCCUACGGGAGGCAGCAGUAGGGAAUCUUCCGAAAUGGGCGAAAGCUUGACGGAGCAACGCCGCGUGAGUGAUGAAGGUCUUCGGAUCGUAAAACGCUGUUAUUAGGGAAGAACAAAUGUGUAAGUAACUAUGCACGUCUUGACGGUACCUAAUCAGAAAGCCACGGCUAACUACGUG